UCCUCCUGUGAUCACUCAUGUUUCUUGUGUGGGCCUUGCCAGGGAUUUUUAUGUCCUUCUCUCACUUGGACUUUGUAUUUUUUCAUUGGAUUGUCUCUUUUGUUUGGACUCUGAAAGGAAGUUUUUCCUAUAAUUUUUUGUCUACAACUGGAUCAUCUUCCUUUUUAGUAAAACUAUGAAGGCACAAGAAAGCAGAGGGGAGAUUUUACGUUUUUUUGGAUUACAGCAGCCACAACAAAGCUGUUUCUACUCGCCACUUCACCAAUGACUCCGUUGCAAGCUGGAUUUGCAUCUCAGCUGUUACUUAAACCUGCGGCUGCUCCAUCCGUAGGGACCUUCCACGGGGGAUCGGAACUACAAGCUCUGAUGAUGCUAGCAGACAUUUUGCCCCCGGCUGGGUGACUAAUGGCCUGGGCCGAUCUGCGCUUUCCAAGAGCCCUGAGUAACAUGUGGUGUGGGAGGUCAUGCAGGGAUAAAGGAUCUUUACUUCAUCUGCUGAAAGAAGUCAAAUUCCUCUGACAACAGUGUGGAGUGAAGGAACAGAAAAACACAUGCCAAGUGGUGGAAAUACGGCCUCGAGGGCAGGGAUUACUCAUGAAGGAUGGUGUAGGCUAGACUUAUCUACUCUUGCAAAAGAAGAGCAGAUAAGCUGCUGUAUUAUUCACCUCACUUCUGGAAUAAAUUGCAAUGCAACUUGAAGUUGGAGACACUCAUUCCUCUUGGGGAUCCUUGCAGAUAUUUUUUUAAUCUAAUAUUUGAGAUAGGUGUGUGUGUGUUCAUUCUUGACUUUACCUUGCA